AAGUCGUCCUCGUUCUCUUCCACUUCCUUAGUUCCUACCCCUCUUCUUCGUACAGUUCUCUAUAGUAUCUAUAGUUCCCUUCCUACCAUGUCCAUGUCGCGCUUUUCGAUUUUUCCUCCUCGCCUAUAAUGUAAUUGUGCAAUUGAAUCGUAAUACCGUUGUUCUGAUCCGGCGAGCCUCUUUCAAAUACGCCUCCGCCUGUUGAAAAUCGUGGGAAAAGUGUCCCGAGCCGCCCUUCGACCGCUGGGAGGCGAUAAUAAAAUUAAUACAAAAGUGGGAGGAUCGGACGAGCUGCGGAAUUGUUCCGAGUCUUCUCAUUUUUUCUUUCUUAUUUUUUUAUUUAUUUAUUUAUUUUUCCCCCUUACGACCUCCUCUCGCCAGCUAUCGCGAUCGAAUCGGCGAGACCAGGUUUAUGAUGAAAAUUGUAUGACUCGGAAACAUGGCAAAUGUGGAAAGGUACAGAACUCAGAUGGUCUAUACAGUGCAGGAGUACGGAUUGUAUCCAGUCCGGGACCACCACGAAAACGAUAAUGAAGCAACUAGACGAGUACGUCUUAAAAUUAUAAGAGGUCAUCAGUUGGCAAAAAAAGAUAUUUUUGGAGCAAGGGGACAUUUUAACUGUUCCAGCGAUCCUUAUGUGAGGAUUGACCUGAAUACAAUAGUUGGUGAAGCGACUGUGGAUUCUGUCUUGACCAAAACAAAAAAAAGGACGUUAAAUCCAUCCUGGAAUGAAGAGUUUAUUUUUAAAGUAAAACCGUCUGAACAUAAACUUGUUCUUCAAGUUUUUGACGAAAAUCGUUUGACGCGAGAUGAUUUCCUUGGCCAAGUUGAACUGUUAUUGGAAAACUUACCAGUGGAAGUCGAAGGAACAGAAAUAGCUUCAAAAAAGUAUAUUCUUUAUCCAAGGAGUUCAAGAUCACGUGUUCGAGGCUAUUUGGAAAUUUAUCAUGCCUUUAUUGAUGAUGAAGUCAGUAACAAUUCAAGAAGAGAUGGCUCAAGGGAUUUGGAAGUAGAAGCUAGUUCAGAAGCAUGCGAUCGAAACAAUUUGCCAGAGGGAGCUCAAGUCUGUGAUAACACCCUCCCUGCAGGAUGGGAAGAAAGGCAAGAUGCUAAUGGACGGACUUACUAUGUAAACCAUGUUGCUCGGUCUACACAGUGGGACAGGCCUGUUCCAGAUUCUGCCCACCAAAACCUGCAGAACCUGGAAUCGGCUGCAACUGAAUUUCAAAGACGUUUUCACAUAAGUGUCGAUGAAGCAGACUCAUCAACACGGAGAGCCAGUUUAAUGUCCUCUCAUAGCACCGAUGAUCAGACUGUCAAUACUUCUAGUGAAGGCCUGCCCGAAGGUUGGGGCUUACAAAUCGCUCCGAAUGGCAGAGUAUUUUUCAUAGAUCAUAAUAAAAAAUCGACAACUUGGGUGGAUCCUAGGACUGGCAGGGCAAGUGCUAUGCCCCAACAAAGUGGAGCGGGAAGUCAAAUCAGAGGACAUGUCACACCUGACGGAGAUUUGGGUUCUUUACCAGAAGGAUGGGAAGAGAGGGUCCAUACUGACGGCCGGAUAUUUUUUAUUGAUCAUAAUUCUAGAAAAACACAAUGGGAAGACCCCAGAUUAGCUAAUCCCCAGAUUGCUGGACCAGCGGUGCCUUACUCUAGAGACUACAAACGUAAAUACGAAUAUCUGAAAACUCAGUUAAGGAAGCCUACAAAUGUUCCAAACAAAUUGGAAAUUAAAGUUAGAAGACAUGCAAUUUUGGAAGAUUCGUAUAGAAUUAUUACAAACAACGCAUCGCGGCCUGAUUUACUGAAAACUAAACUUUGGGUGGAAUUUGAGGGCGAAGUGGGAUUGGACUAUGGAGGCCUGGCGAGGGAAUGGUUUUUUCUUUUGUCCAAAGAAAUGUUCAACCCUUAUUAUGGAUUGUUUGAAUAUUCAGCCAUGGACAACUAUACUCUACAGAUCAACCCAAAUUCUGGUUUAUGUAAUGAGGAACAUCUGAACUACUUUAAAUUUAUUGGAAGAAUUGCUGGGCUUGCGGUAUAUCACGGAAAACUUCUUGAUGCAUUUUUCAUUCGACCAUUUUACAAAAUGAUGCUUGGAAAAAAUAUCGAAUUAAAAGACAUGGAAAGCGUAGAUUCCGAGUACUACAAUUCUCUCUUGUGGAUUAAGGAAAAUGAUCCGGCUGAACUCGGUCUGACAUUUUCCGUUGACGAAGACACCUUAGGCCAUACAUGUCAGAGAGAAUUGAAACCAAACGGUGGUAAUAUUCCACUAACACAGGAAAAUAAAGAUGAAUAUAUAAGACUUGUGAUAGAGUGGAGAUUUGUUGCUCGUGUGCAGGACCAAAUGAAUGCUUUCUUAGAUGGAUUCAAUGCUCUCGUUCCGCUUAAUCUCAUUAAAAUCUUUGAUGAGAACGAACUGGAAUUACUCAUGUGUGGCAUACAGAACAUAGAUGUCAAGGAUUGGAAGACAAAUACCGUUUAUAAAGGAGAUUAUCAUCCUAAUCACAUUACUAUUCAAUGGUUUUGGAGGGUAGUACUAUCUUUUAGUAAUGAAAUGAGGUCAAGAUUGCUUCAGUUUGUCACAGGAACUUCAAGAGUUCCUAUGAACGGAUUUAAAGAACUAUACGGGAGCAACGGGCCACAGAUGUUCACUAUUGAAAAGUGGGGUUCAACUGACAAUUACCCAAGAGCUCAUACUUGCUUCAACCGUCUAGAUCUUCCUCCUUAUGAAAGUUAUCAGGACUUGAGAGAAAAAUUAAUAAAGGCCAUUGAAGGGUCACAGGGUUUUGCAGGAGUUGACUAGCCUUUUUGAAUUGUAGCGAGGUAAACAGAUAUCACACUACUUUAUAAAUCAAGAAAGUUAACUUCUAAAAAGGAAACGUGACUUUAUGUUGAAUGAAAUUUGAAAAGCAAUUAACUUAAAAUUUAAGAUUUUGAAGAAAGAACUAGUCCUACAGCUACCUCAUCACUUUUCCAUUUGAUACGAUACCACUUUUGAAAAGCCAAUAACACACUUGCACAACGGAUUGUAUUAACAAUUAAAAAAAUUAUUAACACA
rnacentral:misc_RNA from 1 species